AAGUUAAGCAAAGUAGGACAAGCCAUUGAGAACAAUGAUCUACCAGCUGCAGGUUUGGUUUUGGGGAAAGGCAUUGAUACCGAAUGGGUCAAAACCGUUAAUUUGGCUUUCACAAAGGUAUUUCUUGCUCCUUUUAACUCUUCACAAAGGUCAAAUCUAUUAGUUCAAUGUGGAUACAACUGGUUAAAACAUAAAUAUAUAUAUAUAUAUAUGUAUUGUUUUUCUUUUACAUAAGGUAGACAUUGUUUAAUGGUUAUGUUACUGUUUGUUGAAAAGUCCUUCCUUGUGUCCUUGUGACAGUUGAGUACAAGCCCAGAAGAGAAUACAGAAGUGGAAGCAUUUAAUUCAUCUUUAGCUUCUCUUAUUACAUCAGGUCUUGUUCUUCUACCUAACUUUUUCAUUCAUAAGAAUCAAAAUUGUCAUUAAAACAUUGUAAUGAUCUCCUUGAAACUUGGUUUACGAUUCCUUUUUUCGCAGUGAACAAGAACGAUAUAGAGUCAUCGAAGCUUGCUUUCGUGUCAUCGGCUGGUGCAUUUGAGAAAUGGACGACUUUGACAGGUCUUUUGGAACAGCUUAAGGGACUGUGAUAGGCUGCUACAAAUUCUUUACUUUUUUUUUUUUUUGUAUUUUUCGACAGAUUUGUCAAAGAGGGUCUUUUUUUCUCCAAAUUGUCCUUUGAAUAAUCCACUUUCUUAACUUCUUUGGUUAUAUACAUUUGAUCAUGCUUACCAUGCAUCAAUAUCAAUAUGGUUGAUUUUUCCAUCGAAUUCCACAUCAAAAGGAACCAAGAAACCAUACCAAAACUUCUUUGGUUAUCUAAACCAAGUAAAAAAAAGUACUCCCUCUGUUCCAAAUUAGAGGAUGUUUAAGCCUUUUUUUCUUGUUCCACAAUAUAAGAUUUUUUCAGAUUUUUAUGCAUAAUUUAUGUUUAUUUAGUUUAUUUAUGAUCUUUUGAAUUCUGCUGUCCUUUUUUCUAUUGGUUAAAUUUUUAUAAAUAAAUAAACAUUUAUUACUUCUUAAUCUUUGUGCUUUUAACAAAAGCAUCUUAUAAUUUGGAACAGAGGGAGUAAAAACUAAACACCUUUCCAUUUGGUUUUUAAAAAAAAAAAAAUGAGAAACCUUUAAAACCGAGAAGGCAUACCGACAUAGAGCAUCACCAAAUUACCCGAAACAAAACUGAACCCAAGAAGGAGGCAAGUUACUAGAUGAAGUCGGUAGGUGGAAGUUUGAGUCAUUUGGCCUUUUCUCAGAAUACAUUGAAUGCUUUAUUAAAACUUUAUCUCAUAACCAAUGUAAAUGCAAAUAAUCAAACGUUAAUCAAUCCAAUUCAGCUUUGAAAAAUCCUCCAAGAAGAAGAGUCAAUAUUGGUUGCGACGGUCCUGUAGAGAUACUAUUAAACAUUAAUGAGAAAGCAGAAAUGCUUCUGUAUAAAUACCAUCACUACUUGUGUCUUAUUUCACCACCUUCACCUUCAACAUCAAACAUCACAUCUCUUACUCAGUCUUCAAAGAGUUUCUUAGUAACCAAAUCAAUGGCAGGUAUCAAAGUUUUCGGACACCCAGCUUCCAUUGCCACCAGGAGAGUCCUCAUCGCCCUCCACGAGAAGAACCUCGACUUUGAGCUCGUUCAUAUCGAACUCAAAGACGGUGAGCACAAGAAGGAGCCUUUCCUCUCCCGCAACGUAAGUAUAUCUAUCUAUCUAUCUACGUGUUGUUGUAAGACAAGAGACCAACUGUUUUGAUGAUCUGGUCGGAAUCUUAAGUGUUUUCGGUUUGAACUUCUUUCCUCUUCAGCCUUUUGGACAAGUUCCAGCCUUUGAAGAUGGAGACCUCAAGCUCUUCGGUAUGAACCUUUUCCAUGCAUCAUCUUCAAUCUCAAAUCUGAUUUGACAAUAGGCAUUAGAAGGCAAAAUCACUAACAUGAAUUGGAUCUUUUUGUGCAGAAUCAAGAGCGAUUACUCAGUACAUAGCUCACCAGUAUGAAAACCAAGGAACCAACCUUCUCCAAGCCGACCCCAAGAACAUAUCUCAGUACGCAAUCAUGGCCAUUGGAAUGCAAGUAGAAGCUCAUCAGUUCGACCCAGUGGCUUCAAAGCUUGCUUGGGAACAAUUAUUCAAGUCCAUCUACGGCUUGACCACAGACCAAGCUGUUGUUGCAGAAGAAGAAGCUAAGUUAGCCAAGGUCCUUGAUGUCUACGAGGCUAGGUUGAAGGAGUUCAAGUACUUGGCUGGUGACACUUUCACUUUGACUGAUCUUCACCACAUUCCCGCCAUUCAAUACCUGCUCGGAACUCCCACCAAGAAGCUCUUCACCGAGCGUCCACGUGUCAACGAGUGGGUGGCUGAGAUCACCAAGAGGCCAGCUUCAGAGAAGGUUCUGUGAGAAAUUUCUAAAAGGAAAAUAUGGUUUUGCUUCAGUCACAGUAAUAAUGCUAAAAUUAAAUAAGCGGCUACCUCAUUGCCCAAUUUCUCAGUACUUUCUUUCUGUUGUAUCCUCUGUUUUUGUUUCAGUUAUGUGAGUGUGUGUAUGUUCUCGAGAGUAUCUUUGGCAAAAACUAUUUAUCUAAUCUUCAAGCUCUUCUAAAAUAAAUCAAUUAGUUCACUAAUGCAAAGAUUGCAAUGUCUUAACUAUGGAGUUACUGACUAGCGAGAAUAGUAUACAAGGACUUUAGUAUUGUGGAAAUCUUACUUUGGAACGUUUCUCCUGGGGAAAGAAGUUUACUUAAGACUUUGGACGUUCUUAUCCUGAAAGUUUCCUUGCUUUAUCAGGUCUGAAAAUGACAAGUAAUAUAGACGUUAGAUUCAAAUCAGACAAAACAAAACACAUCAGAUUUCUGGACCUAUUCAAGUCUCUAUAAAUUACAGAAACGAUUAGAGCAGUAAGUUUGAGUGUUUUCACCAUCAAUCACGGAUCUUCUCUGACUCAGCAACGGGAAAAGACACAAGACGCAAAAAGAGAGGUAGAUAUAAAUCCUAAGCCAGAUCGAUUAAACUGAAUUGGUUUGUACCUUGACCGCCUCAUGUUUGUCUCCAAUGGUUUCCUCGUCUCAUCCCUCCCUCUGAUGACUUUGUGGCUACCCAAAGAAUUGUGAGUAAAGCCAGCCAUAUAUUUGCAGACUCUGGUCAUCCUUAAGUUAGAGACUUUGCUACAUCAAAUAUUCACAUAAUCCACCAAGAAAGCAAGAAAUAGCCUUUAUUCAGAGUUUGUCUGUUAUUAUCAUCCAGCUUACUUCACCACGAUAAUCCAAUAAUUUCCGGAGGUUAUACAGAUUGAAAAUCUAUCACAAAGCAUUUUUAUAAAACACAUACCAUUGCCUUCAAGGUAUCAAGGAAGAACAGUAAGAUCCUGGUGAAGAACACAAUGAGAUAAGGGUUCUAGCACAAAAUCUUAUGAACAGGGUAUGCAGCUGCUUAAAAGAUUCUUCAACGAGCGUUUACUAUCUUCUGCAGAAAUUUAAGAAACAAAUUAGCAAACUCAAGCCAAGCAACAUCAUUAACAUGAGAAGUAGAACCAAAAGAAGACUGAACUAGGCUCCAUUAUCUGAAGAACAGCAAGAGAAGCUGAGAAGGGCUACUGAAAUUGAAGAAUUACUGAUACAUGAUAAAUCCGACGGGAACCUCUCAACAGAACCAAAAUACAACUUUGAUAAACUUCAACAAAGUUUUUAUUAAAGUGGGGAAAAAACAUGAACUAAAAACCAGUAAUAUAAAAAAAAGAUCCUUCGGCAGCAUUCAUCCGCAUAUUUAGUACAUGCUGUACUUGUCGUUUGUCGCGUCUGGUCGAAUGCUCUUGUAGAUGGACAUGGCAAUUGGAAGAAUGGCCGUGAGAGCAAUCUGCAACUGAUCUGAGCUGCUGGUUCUGACUGUGAUCUGUCCGCUCAUCUUGUUGUUAAGUCCUGCACGAAGCGCGAUCUUUGAGUUCCUUCCAACAGAGAGUUGAGAUUGGAGAUUGGCUCCUAGGGCUAAAUCACCUCUCCACUUCACCAAAGACAGCCCAAAAGAAGAUUGGUCCUGUCCAAUUGGGAAAUCAGCUUCCCUAAGCCUGACCUCAAGGUUCGCACCAUAGGCCGAAUCUCCCUGUGAUCGCAUUGUCCCAGUGCUGCCCACAAGCACAAACCUUUUCCCCAGUGCUAUUUGGUCCUCGAGUUUGACACCAGUGGCGAUGUUCUCUCCCAAGAAUGUCACUGACCCUCCAACAGUUGUCUUGUUCUUCCUCAAGUUCUUGAAUUUGGUUUCUCCUCUGACCACAUAUGCCAGCUGCUUACCUACAUUCUGAAUAUCAAACCCUGCCAUGGUGGAUCCAUUCUCGCCGUGCUUAGCAGACACCGAGGAGUCCAGAUGAAUGUUGAACUCUUUCUUGUCCUUGGUGACUUGGACAGUAGCUGUGGCAGGGAACCGGCUUGCUACAGCAAGACUGAGUUCUGCAUUGACGCCGUCAUAUCCACAGUCAUGGUCCCAACCAUGGGUGUCCAACACUGGCCUGGUUAGGAGUUGUGAAGUGGGUUCAAGAAAUCGGUAUCGGUAAGCUGAGUUAUCACUAUCAAAUGAAGGUGGCAAAACCAUAUCGGGUAAUGGAACUGGCACUGCAGCUGGAGCCCCGUUUUCUGGAUCAUCUUCUUCUCCCGGAUAACCAAACUCACUCUCACCCACCUUCUUCCCGUUUUUCUUCAUUUCUUUCAUCCUCUUCAAUUCCUCUCUCCAUUGCUUCUUCUGCAGGAGCUUUACCCGGUAAUCAUACUCCUCGAAAUAUGCCUUUCUCUGUUCCUUUGAGAGUUUUGCAAGUUGGGUUUUUCGAAGAGGCUUAAAUGGUGGCAGCUGGUCAUACUCAUCAUCUUCCCCAUCUUCCUGCUCAGAAUCAGACACAUCAUCAAUUUCGAUAUCAGAGUCAACACUAUCACCACCUUGGUCUCCGGGGAGCUUAGGAUGUGCACGGGACUGCAACAGCCAAGACAACAAGUAAGGGAGAGGCGGGGAUCGAACUCGGAAACCGAAUACUUUACGAUGAUCCAAUGGUUCUUGAGGCUUCAAAAGAGAAUUAGCUUCUGACAAAACCUUCAGGGAGUAACACAAUAGCAACAGCUGGGGUCUCCAAGUUUGGCCAUUCGGGAGAACCUUCACUCCCUCCCGGUUCUUCCUACACAAGGGGUGAUUCUCAACAAGAGAAACUGGAUUCAUCAGACUUGGAUUCAUCAAGCGCAGAUCUCCAACGGCCUGCCCUAUAGACUGUUGCACAAUAUGUGAGCACUGUGCUACAAACACAUCAUAGCUCAAUGGGGUGCCAGAUGGGCCAUCAGGAGGGGCAGAAGCAGCAUGGGUCAAUGUUACUAUAGCGUUUUUCCAUAUUGAUGUACCGAGAGAAGCAGUAAUCGUCCUUAGCAAGGGCAUAUUGUUCAAGUCCCUGGUCUGGGUGUCAAGACGAUCUACAUAUAGUACAAUAUCAGGGGGACACUUCUUCAUUACCUUCUUUACAGAGGACAACAUUUUUGCAUUUGCACUUUGAUCCAUCGCAGCAGACUUCAAACCCGGAGUAUCAAUAAAGGUAAUCUUGACACCACCCACGGUUUCAGAAAUUUCUCUAACCGAAGUGGUUGAGAGCCCAAAAGCAUCAAUGGACGCCUUCUGAUUUCCCAAAAUGGAGUUUAUAGUAGCACUUUUUCCCACCCCAGCUUUUCCAAGGACCAGUAUGUUUAGAGAGAAGUUCAAAUCUUCGUUGCCCUCAGCCUCAGACUCCACAGCCUUCUUCUUCGCAGCAUCAAGACUGAAAAACUGCCCUGUUUGUCUCCCAGCAAGUAGUGCAAGACGGUAAAGAACCUGCGCUGCGAUUGAAUCUUCUGCCGAAUGCCCCAACUUUUGCAAAAGCCGCAAAAACUUCACACGGAGACUUUGCAACUUUUCUAAUUUCUCUUUCUCUUCCUCGCUCAAGUUAACCUCAGUCUCAUCUGCCAUUGUGACAUUAGGAUUGGAAAAGAUGUUGGAACGGUUUGCACGUGGAGCUGCUGCAGGUUUCAAGGGCCUUAACGAUGAACUCAAACCAGCAGGUCGAUCCAUAGAGAAAAGCUUCGUGCCAUCCUGAGAUGUUAUGGUAAAGUUGCCACCUUCUGAACUUCCACCACCAGUGGCUGCCUUCAAAAGCGCAGCCAAAGCUGCAGAAUCAAACAUUUUCUCCUCACCUUCAUCCUCUGUGUCUACAUCCUCGUCAGAAUCGGUGACAAUCUGGCCAUCAAUCCUAUCUGACAUAUUGUUAGAAAUGUUUGCUUCGUCAGAAUGUGCCUCUAUACCAGAAGAAGCCUUUUCCAGCUCUGCUAAGAACUGUUUUGCAGCUUCAGAACUCCCAAAUAUCAUCUCUUCAGUUUCUUCUUCACUUUCAGACCCAUCAACCCUGGUAACACCUUCGCCAGAAGGUUCCUGGUCCACUUCCUUACCUUCAAAGCUAAACUCACGAGAAGAAACAAUGUCUUCGGCUGGGAGCUUGUUUCCACCCUCUUCAGCAUUGUCCCCUUCGAAAACUUCCCGAACUUCUGGGUUUUGGUUUGCUUCAAACUGUGACUGAGCUGCAGGAUUUGAAUCCUCUUUUGCAUCAACCGAACCCACUGUUAAACUUUCAGAAACGGGCGAUUCUUCUACUUCCACACCUACUUUUGGUUCGUCAGGCUCUACUUUGGCUGCCCCUGACAUUUCCUUAGCAGCCAAUUCAAAAUUUCCAUCAUAUGCAGCAGUCAGGUCAUCAGGUUCCUCAAUAUUUGGGAUGGUCUUGUCAACCUCAUCAUCUCCAUCAUCUUCCUUAAUUACAGCCUCCUUCGCCGCCCUGACAACCACAACCCCUGGCUCUGCAACAUUGAUAUCAGCAUCAACAGAUUCCACCACAGAUGAAUCAACCACAGAGUCUCCUUCACUAGUCAACUUCUCUCCUCCCUCCUCAGUGGCUUUAACAGAUUCACGUUCAACUCCAUCACCUUCAACUUGGCCAACUGGAUCAAACUUAUUAUGCACAUCAGUGAUCUUACCAUCAGUUUCCAGCACCUCACUUGCCUCUACGUCUCCAACAACAACAACCCCUGGCUUUGCCACAUCUACAUUCACAGCUUUUAUAGCAGAUGAGUCCACCACAAAGUCUCCUUUGUUGGUUAACUUAACACCUUCUUCUUCAUCAUCGACUACGCCACUGAACACACUCUCCUCCUCUUUGGUUCCAUUGUCAGCUACUGCAGUAGCUGCCUUGAUUACCUCAGCAUAAGUCAUACCCUUCUCCAAUCCGUUAGUUUGUUCCACAUCCUUUGGUUCAGUCCCGCUCUCGACAGCUACCACCUCUGGCUCUGCAGCAUUGGUAUCCACAGAUUCUAAUUUAGAGGAGUCUGCUCCGCUACUCAAUUUUUCUUCUACCUCCUCAAUGGCCUUAUCAGACACAGGUUCCAAUUCACCACCAUCAUCAUCCCCAAUUUGAUCAAACUUAUUUGCCACUUCAAGAGUUUCAGCAUCAGCAUUAAUGUUCAACUCCUCACUUCCCUCUGCGUCUCCUACAACAGCCACCCCUGGUUUUGCCACAUAAACAUGCACAGAUUCUACAGGGGACGAGUCCACUAUGACGUCUCCUUUAUCAGUUAACUUCACACCCUCUUCUUCAAUGACAUAAUCACUUUUAUCGUCAACAUCAACUUUUCCACUCAACUCACUCUCCUCCUCAUUGGCUCCACUUGCCUGUGUUACCUCAUCAACUUUUUUUGCUCCAACAUCUUCUUCUCCCACAUCCUUCACUUUACUCUCACUCUCCCUUUCUGGAUUCUCAUCCACCACUAUUCCAUCUGUGGAAGCCUGUUUCUCUCCAACAUCAACACUCCCAUUUUCAAUCUUACUCUCACCAUCGUCUUUAAUAUCUUCCACGUCCUCAUUAACCUUCUUAUUCUCCUCCACAACCACUAGACCAUCAGAAACAGCCUCCGGCUUCGGAGAUAGCAAUGACACACCAUCUUCCUCAAUUGUACCAUCAGAAACAACCUCAGGCUUCGGAGUAGCCUCGGGAAUAGCAGAAUCAUCCACCUCGUCAGAAACUUUCCCGUCACCCUCCAAAUUCGGCUUCUCCUUAUCAGAUAAAUCAUCAGCUCCAACCUUAUCCGAAUUACCAGACAAAGCCUCCGACGAGGAAUCCAACUCCUUGGCACUACUCACAGCACCACCAUCCUCCUUAUCGGCGGCUGCAGCAGCAGCGGCGGCGACAACAGAAGCAUAGGUUUUUCCUGUAACAAAAUCCCUUCCGAUAAAAACCCUAUUCCCAAAAACGCAGAUUAAAGAAGAUAGAAACGAGAAAGAAACCUGAUUUCCCCGAAGCGUAGAAGGGGUUCGUUGGUUCUGGAGUUGCCGACUUAGAGUCCAUUUCCGCUUUGCUACUGAGAAUUUAUCGAACUCUCUCUCCACCAAACUUGUGGAGGAAGGAGAUAGCGAUAGAUAGGGUUUAGAGGAAUUAACCCUUUUUGUGUGAAGAUUUUUAUGAUUGAGAAAUUGGCUGCUCUCUUUUGAACAAGAGAGAAUUGGGAGAGAGAUAAGGUCAGUGAGCGAACAAAAAAUGACUCUCUUUUUCCUUUGCUUUGGGAUUUUAUCUUCUCAGUUUGGUUUUGAGGAUGAUGACGAAAUUACCAAAUUACCCUCGAUUCUAAGUUGGUGAAGUUUCCAAGGCUCUCUCUAUGUGCUGCUGCGCUCUAAAACGCUGACGUUUUAUUGGCUCAACUCCGUGUUCAAAAAAUCACUAGGCGCUAGUCGGUAGGUCCGAACAUAAGUACUCGUUAUUCGCUUUGUACCCGCUACUCGGUUCGUACUUGCCUUAAAAAUUCAAGUACUCGCUAUAGUCAAGUCGAGUAACAAUUAAGUAAAUUCUACUACUUGCAAGUAAGGAUCAAGUACCAAAUAUCAUAAUUUUUUUUUAUAUUUGCCCUGUUACUCGCUCUGUUUUAAUACUUGCCCGACUCGUUAUUUGAUACUUGAUACAAUAAUUACUUGUACCCGUGAUUUGUUGCUAUUUCCCUUCUCUUGAUUUCAAAUAAGUGAAACUAACAAUACAACAUAGUAAUGUCCAUUAAACCCAAUAGUAAAACUCUAGCCCAAGUAGUAUUAGAUUGCUUUUAUAUUCAAAUUCUUUAGUUCAAGUACAAGUACUUGCAAGUAACAAGCCGAGUCAAGUUACUUUGCAAGUAACAAGUCGGGUCAAGUUACUUGCAAGUAAUAAGAUUUGAAACGAGUACUUAUUAUAGCAAGUACUUGCUCAGACGAGUCAAGUAUCAAACCUAAAUUUCAAUUACUUAUACGGACUAAGGCGGGUCACAAGUACUUAAAAAUUAGCAAGUACUUGCCUUGUGCCCAGCCCUACUAGUCGGGCGGUGAGAGUGGACCUAACGCCUAGCAAGAAAAUCGGAGAUUAAACGGGAUUUAAUCGGGGAUUAGUUUUAGGACUAUUUAAUAUUUUCAAAACAUAUUAAUCAAUUAAAAUUAAGAAAUUUAUAUUGUUUUUAAAAUUGCAUUAAACACAUGAAAACAAGAUUUUAAGCUCAAAUUUAUGAUUUUUAUACAAAUUACGAAUAUAUAGGACGUUUUAAAUUUUAGAUAUAUAAAAAAAAAGGGCUAGGCACCAUCUAGGCAGACAAAAAAUCGGACCAGCGAUUUUUAUUACCGAUUUGGAAAAAAUUGUCGUUGUUCCCCUCCGAUCAGCGCCUAAGCGGCCGAUUUUUAGAACAGGGGCUCAACCCAAACAAAAUACGUAUAAACAGUUUUUUUUUUCUUUUUUUUUUGAAGAAGUAAUAAUCAUUUGUGGUUAAAAUUUGAAAAAUAAUGUUUAUUUUUGAUAAGUUUUUGUCAAGAAUUUUCAAGAAAUUUUGAAUAAAAAUAGAAAAAUAAUGUUAAUAUUUUAUUCUCUUUUUGAAAAUAUUUACUGUUUAAUCUUCUGCUUUUAUUAUGCAAAAUUCUCCAAAUGUUAAAAACUUCCCCCAAUGGAAAAUGUUUGAUGAGCUUACUAAAUCUAGGGUUUUUGAAGUCAUGAGAAUUAGGGUUUUGAUAUAUCUUCUCUUUACUAAAAACAAAAAACCACACACACAAAACCAAAAAAAAAAAUAAUAAUAAUAAUUAUAAAUGAGAUAACAUUUGAGAUUGCGUUUUAUAAAGAAGAAAGAAAUCUUUUUUGUAUCUUUGUUGAUUCUCCCAACCCGAAAUUGCUUGGCCACAAACUAUUUUUCCCACCAUUAUCUACGAAUUAUCUUGGAUUUUUGUAUAUUAUGGAUUCCAUAUAUUAGGCCGGGAUUAUAGUUUUCACAUGGGCUUUUUAUAAGGCCUAUCCAUAAUAACAGCCCGUAUUUUCGUAAAAAAAAACCCCAUACUACAUAAGAAUCUGACCACAUACCAAAUUUAAUUUUUUGAACUAUACUCAAUAUGAUUUUUGACAUUUACAUACCAAAAAUAAAUAAUUAGUUGAUAGUUUAGUUAAAUAAGAAAUCAGGUUUUUUAAAAAAGUUCUUGAAUUAAAUUAACACAGAUUAUUGAUCCAUGAAGCUACAAAAUCUCAAGUUCUAAUGGAUUACAAAAUAAAAAAGGAAGAAAAACAACAUUUUGAUUUCGUAAUAGAACUCUAGAAGUAGAGACAACGUAAAACCAAAGAAUAAACUGAUGUCUCUGCACAAUACUUUUAUCAUCCAUCUUAGUACAACAAGAAGCAAAGACGUAAGACAUAAAUAUGGCAAGUAACAGAGCACAAAUCCUAAACGCAGAUCCGAUUCAAACUUGAUUGGUUUGUACCUUAACCGCCUUAAAUGCCGGGUGAAGCAACCCGAGCUCGUCUUUCAUCUCCAACGGAUUGCUAGUCUCGUUUCGCACUCUCUUGACUUUGCGACUAGCCAAAGAUUUGUGAGUGAAACCAUAGAUUUGCAGAAUCUGGUUAUCUCCAAAGUUAAAGGCUCUGUCCAUUUGUUUUAGACAACGUUCCACCGGGUAAUCACCAAAUUUCCCACAGGGUUUGCAACCGACAAAGUGAGUCACCAAUGGCCAUCUGUGAUCGCCUAGACCCGGGUGGUAGUUUUCUAUCAUUUCUUCAUAUCGGUCCACAAGAAUCCCCCAGUAACCGUGAAGAUAGUAUCCACUUUCUAGGUACACCUAUAACAACAGUGCAGUGGCUCAAAUAAGUAGCUCAACAAAAUCCAAACCAAGCAAAGAUUUGAGUUUACUUCAAUAAUAGACCUUACACAGAUGUUAGAAACCACAAGAUGCAACUCACAUUGUCAUUUGGGAUGACCAAUAGACAUAAUAAACAACAAAGUGCAACUCACAUUGUUAUUUGUGAGCCAAAAAACGAUCUUUACGUGAUCAAGAGAUGUUAUAAACGGACGAGACAUCUAAAGUUUCCAAAUUUAGAAAAAAUUUUCAGAUCAAACCAAUGAUGAAAUGGAAUCAAGUUCACAGCUUUAAACCAGUCAAAUUCAGUUCGUACCUUACUGCCCCAAGCGUCUCGCUGAGUAGCCAACAAAUAAACCAUAGCAGACUGAUCAUCAGCUUCGAACACCGGCCUAUCCUUGAGCUCACGGGUCAAAACCUUACCCGCUUCCUCACGGAUCUUCCCUUUAGGACCCAUAGGAGCCCAAGUAUCAAGCAAAUCAAGUGCCCAUUGAUUGUUCCUAAGCAAGAAACUCCCAGUAUUCAACCCAAUCCAAUUCUUCUGAUCAUAAACCAUCUCAUUCCAUCCAUGCAUCACCAGAUUGUAAUCUUUAUACCUCUCCCAUGGAAGCUCAAAAGCCAUAUCCGUAAACAUAGCAUCACUAUCCAUCCACCAAAGAAACUCAAUCUCAGGAUGUGACAACAAAAGCUUCCUAAUCAAUGGUAGCUUUGCCCAAAAACCAGCCAUCUCCGCAUCAAGAAGAGCCAUAUUAUAGAAGAUCUCGAUCCCAUGUAGCCUACAGUAAUCGAUCUUGUUCUUGAUCGAUUUCAAGAGGUAAUGAUCACCGACAGGAUUCUCACAUGGUUUUGGCGCCGAACCAGUAACCAAAAGGACACGUGGCUUGUUUGGUCCGAUGAAAUUAGGGAAGCUAGGGUUCUUAGCUAACCAAUCGGAUCUCUGCUCAUCCCAAUCUGAUAUCUUGGGUCCGAGAGUGUAAGGUUUAUUCGGGUCGGGUUUUUCUUCUUCACCUUCGUCAACGAAUAUCUUGUUGAUGUCAAACGUCUCAUAGUUAUUACUCCCACCGGAAUUACCUCCACCGUCACCGGAGGAAGAAGAAGAAUCUCCUCCGGUCUGGAUUUCUUCAAGAACACGGUGAGGCUCUCCUCGUUUGCGUGCGUGGAAAUGUUGACGGAUCUCGUCAAGAUCUUGCUCCGGAGUUCCGAAUUUACCGGCGCCGAUUGUGCUACGUAGGACAACUACGGUGAGAACAAGACAGAGAAUCGUUACCUUUAAUUGACGUAAUGCUCUUUGGAUUCUCCGGCACCGGUAAGCUCCUAAACACCUUUCAAUCAUCUUCUUCUUCUUCUUUCUUCUUAGAGGUUUCUCUGUAAAGAUUUGUGCUUUGUGUGUUUUUAAGAGAAGAUCUGAGUUUCCAUUAAUGUCAGAGAUUCGAAUUUGAUAAUCUGUUAAUUACCAAAGUUACUACUAGAAGAAGAGAAGAGGAGAGAGUUUUUGUGUUUUGGACACGACAGUUAAGAUUGUCUGAUUUCACUUAAUUGUCGGUGGUAGUGCUGUGUUAGUAGUGUUGUUGACACAUGGCGAGAUUGUAGAUAGUGUGAUUUGUGAUCAAUUAUCUUGACCGUUGAUGAAGUUAUAGAUCUAUAAAAAACUAAAAAUCUAUGAGCGUUGAAAAGUCAACUCGUUGUUGUUUUUUGUAGUUUUAGUGGAAAACUCGUUUUUUUUUUUUUUUAUAUAUAGAAAACUAGUUGAAAAGAAGGAGCAUAAAUAGCAAAAUAUUUUCAACUUAUUUGAUAUAGUUAUAUUACUAAUUAGAGGUUAGUAAGUUACCCAAAUGACUUUUGGAAUUCAUUAUAUUGAGAUAUGUUUUUUUAAAAAUGGUCUUUGAUUUUUUUUUCUCAUCAUGAAAAAGAUGCCACCAUUACAUAAUGAAAAAAAAAUUAUCUUAUGAAAAACAUCAGAAAUCAAUAUCCACUAUUACAUCAUGAAAAUGAAAAACAUCAGAAAUUAUUAGCCACUAAGUACAUUAUGAAAAAAUAUUAUAUCAUAACAAAAUAUCAAACCACUUGUGAAAAAUAUCAACUACACUUAAAACAACAUCAUUGGUAGGCUCUUAAGAUUGGGCUCUUAACAAUAGUUUAGUAUUAAAAUUAUAAAGUUUAGAGUUAAAGAGAUUGUAUUUUUGUUUUUAAUUUUUAUGUGUCUUUAAUGGUAAGCUCUUAACUUAUGGUUCUUAGAAAAAAUUUAAUUUAAAAAUGAAAUUAAAUUAACAAUUUUAAUUUUAGAAAACUUAAUAAUUAUUGCAAAUUAAAUUUUUUUAAACAUAUAUGAGAUAUAAUUUAUAACAUAAAUCAUAAUAGUUUUAAACUUGAUUUCUGGCAAAUUUUGUCCAUAUAUCUAGUGGAAUUGAAAUAGAUUGGAUAAAUGUAGUCUUUUAGGAUAAAUGCCAUAAGUGAGAUAUGAUAAAUGUAGUCCAUUUCGGGUAUAAAUAGAUUGAAUGUAGCUUGUUAUAUAAAUGUUCAGGUAAAUGUUCGAGUUUUCGGGUAAAUAUCCGAUUUUUCAGAUAAAUAUUCGGGUUUUCAAUUAAAACUCAAAUUUCAGGCAAAAUUUGGAUUUUAGAAUAAAACAUUCGGGUAUUUUCGGGUUCCGAUUUGGGUCGGGUUCAGGUUUUCUGGUAUAUGAGUUUAGGACCUAAUAGGAUAAAUCUAAAUUUUUGGAUUCGGUUUCGGAUAGAAUUUUUCGACUUAUCAUAGAUUUCAGAGACAUUCUCAAAAGAAGAAGAUAGAAAAAUGAUAAGAACUAAUGCUAAGAACUGAUUAUUUGACUCUUAUAUAAGAGUCGGUUCUUAAGAUAUAAGCCAUUUAUUCAUUUAUUUUUUUGUAAGAAUUAAUGUUAAGAACUUCUUAAGAAUCGUACUACCCAAUUUCUAGAAAAUAUCAACUAACAAAACAAUCACAACUCAUACUUUUACGGUUUUACCUCACUCAUCUUUUUCAACUAGUAUAUCAAAAGAAAUACUUCCUUCCGCAAUUGGUGGAUUACACAGCAGAAAGAUUGUCUCACUUCAUCGCAACAUAAUAAUCUCCUCCAAUUAAAGGACCGACAACCAAUGAGGAGAUAUAUUGUUGUAGAAAAAUUAUUUGAUACACUCAAGAACAUCUCUCGUGCACAUACGGAGACAUCUAAAUAUUCUGAAUUAGCAAAAAGCGAUAUUUGAGCUUUUGAAUCUCUUUCAAUUUUCUUGAUGUUUGUCUGAUUUUUCCCCAAUACAAAUCCAACAUUAGUCGUAGGGCACCUAAGAUGAAGUUUCACCUAUCUAGCUUCAUUCCUUUCAUACAUGGAAGCCAUGUUUUACCUUACAGAAGAUUUGUGAUGAUUCUGCAAAUUGAAGAACAAGAGAGAGAAACGGAUUUGACUAACGAUUUGAAGAACAAGAGAGAGAAAUUUGUGAGAGAACGCCUUCGUAAAAAAUAAUGGAUACAAAUAUAAUUUUCUAAAAGUCAUUUCUUCCAGAAACUGCCAAAAGCGAGUCCUUCUCUCUAAAAAUCAAUAUCUCUCUCCCUUCUCUCUAAAAAAAGGAACGUCCGUUUGAUCUCUGGUUCCAGUGGCUUCCAUAGCACUGGAGCUGGGGAACCUCUUUUUACUAGUCUUGUUUUAUCUCUUUUCUUUAGUAUUUUCAUGAAUUUCUUCCAACGGAAUCAAUUCUAGUUUUUCAGAUCUAGGUUUUUGAAGCUUAAAUCUUUUCAUCUUUGUGUUCUUGUAUUCUCAGCUUCUGAUCUGGCCGUAUCCUUCCUUGGCAGAGGCAGUUUUCAACCGGUUCUUCACUGCCUCAGAUGAAGAAAAUUCACCAUCGUAGAUCUAGAUCUUCUUCCUUUCUUCAAGAGACGAUCCUUGAGUCUCUAGAUUUUGGAUGUGUCUCACCGCCUCCGUGGCUCCUCUGUGGAGCUUUAUAAAGAGGAUCGCACGGCACUUUCAAUUAGUUCCAACUUGUGGUAAAGGAGAUUCUUGUAUUUUAUCCCGUUUGUGUGUUUUUCUUUAUCUCAGAUUUGAUUAAAUUUUCUAAAAGUUUAGGUUUUGUAAGUCUUUUUUUGGGUUUCUAGAUUCUGAUCCGGGAAGUAUUUAUGGUUGUAGUUGGUUUGUUUGGGUUUUUUCCCCUUUGUUUACCUUGUUUGGUCUUUGUCUCUGGGAGUGUUCUUGUACUCGCCAGCUUAUGUCUCUGGAAGAGUUUAUCUCUUGCCGGCUUUGUGUACUAAAACCGCAUCCUACCCUUGUAACCUUCAAUCGUAUAAUAUAAUGUAAUAAUUCAGACGAAAAAAAAAAAAAAAGUCAUUUCUUCCAAAUUUGCUCUUAUUCUUUAUAAAUUCAUUUAUUCCCC
rnacentral:lncRNA from 1 species